AGUCAGGGACAAGUGUGAAUUGUGGUGGCAUUCACUGAGAACCAUGUAUAUAUGGAGAGUCUUGUGGUAAGGGAGAAUGACUUCAACAUGGGAUGUAAUAAAGUAGAGUCACUUAGUCAGAGAUUGGUAAGAAAUGGGAACUUGGAAAUGGGGAGAUGACAGCAUGUGGCAGAAAAGGGUUCCUACUGCAUAGCCUCCCACUUAAGAGAUAAGCCAGGGCCCUCCUGGAGACCUCACCAGUGCUACAUUCAGAUGUCAGCCUAGACCACACCAUGAAGAGAAAACUGGGGCAAGGGCUACUUGCCCAUGUCUACUGGCUCAAGGAAAGGGAAAUGCUGCCAAAAAAGUCUAUGUGACAAGUGGCUGUAGAAGGGUGGAAGCUGUAAUUUUCCAGAGUAAAAACCUUUGAUAGGCCUCCUAAUAAAUACCAGCUCAGGUUUCUGAAAUGUUAAAUAAUGGUAGAGAGAAACUAGCCCAUAGACAAUCACUAAAGAUUUUAUUUUCAUAAACUAUAUAUACUGUUUUUCCUUUAUCUUUUUAGUUGUCUAUUCCAAAUGAAUGUCAAAGCCUACAGAAGAAUUUGAAGACAGAACAUUUCCUUCUCCUGCUGCCAACUUUUAAUGGAUGGCCUGCGGGGAAGAGGUUGGGAAUUCCUGGCACUGAAGCCAGAGGGUAGAAAGUAAGAAGAGUCUGGCUUUUGUGCCAAACUUGGUCCAUGAUGUCCCAAUCAGCCAGCACUUUGUCUCUUGAAGAUUUUUUCUAGUCUUUCUUUGCCUUAGACCUGACUCUAGGCCACUCUGGCUCUCUAUCUUGGAUAGGCCGGCCACUGGCUCUCUUCCCUGAGCCUUCAUUGCCCAGAACCUGGCCAAUGUCACCACCCUGGUCUGGUAUUCUAAUCACAAGUUCCCAUGGUCCUGUCUUUAAUUUAGAAGGGCCUUCUAGUCAGGGUGAUACAUAGAAUAUGAAACUGAGAGUUCAUUUUGAGCCGGUAAGGACAUAUCAUCACCAUCUACUCACUUAGUUCAGAAUAAAUUCCCAGUGAAUGAACAUAUGCGCACAUCCCAAGUCACUUGUCCAGGAAAGUUAUGAGUACCACACGACAUGCAUACUAUUACUUGUUGAAAAUCAAGCCUGCUCUGAGUAUCUGCUGGGUGCUGCCCUCAAGGAACUAAUGUUGUAGAGGGCUGGGAAUAUGGCCUAGUGGCAAGAGUGCUUGCCUUGUAUAC